AAGAGUGAACUAGCUAACUGAAAUCAUAUAAUCCACUCUGUUGGUAAAUAUGAUAACGUAAGGGAAAAAAAUGAUAUUACCUUACUAUUAGUGUUGUCCAAAACUGGUGCCAGAAGACUCGGUAAGGCCAGAGACGCAAACGUUAGUCGUCCUAAUCAGGCGUAAAGGGUUUGUAGGCAGCUUUAAAAUUUUUAUCUUAAAAAAUAGCUCUUUAAGUAAAAUUAUAAAAAAAUUAUAAUAAUAUUUAUUGAAAAAAGAAAAAAUUAAUUAAAGCUAGAAUCAUAAAGAGGAUAAGCCAAAUAAUACUUAGUGUAGGGAUUAAAUCUUUAGAUACUAAGGGGAAUACUAAAGGUGAAAGCUUUUUAUCUAAUAAUGAUUGACGCUGAGAAACGAAGGUGAGAAUAGGAAAUAGGAUUAGAUACCCAGAUACCUCUCACUGUCAACGAUGAAUGGUAGUUAUUAGUUAAAUUAAACUAGUCACGAUGUUAACACGAUAACCAUUCCGCCUUGCGAGUACGGUUGCAAAACUGAAACCAAAAAAAUUAGUCGGUCUCGAAGCAAACGGAGUGAAGCUUGUUAUUUAAUUCGAUAAUCC
rnacentral:rRNA from 1 species